UAAGCGACUAAGCGUACACGGUGGAUGCCUAGGCAGUCAGAGGCGAUGAAGGGCGUGCUAAUCUGCGAAAAGCGUCGGUAAGCUGAUAUGAAGCGUUAUAACCGACGAUACCCGAAUGGGGAAACCCAGUGCAAUACGUUGCACUAUCGUUAGAUGAAUACAUAGUCUAACGAGGCGAACCGGGGGAACUGAAACAUCUAAGUACCCCGAGGAAAAGAAAUCAACCGAGAUUCCCCCAGUAGCGGCGAGCGAACGGGGAGGAGCCCAGAGUCUGAAUCAGUUUGUGUGUUAGUGGAAGCGUCUGGAAAGUCGCACGGUACAGGGUGAUAGUCCCGUACACCAAAAUGCACAGGCUGUGAACUCGAUGAGUAGGGCGGGACACGUGACAUCCUGUCUGAAUAUGGGGGGACCAUCCUCCAAGGCUAAAUACUCCUGACUGACCGAUAGUGAACCAGUACCGUGAGGGAAAGGCGAAAAGAACCCCGGCGAGGGGAGUGAAAUAGAACCUGAAACCGUGUACGUACAAGCAGUGGGAGCACCUUCGUGGUGUGACUGCGUACCUUUUGUAUAAUGGGUCAGCGACUUAUAUUUUGUAGCAAGGUUAACCGAAUAGGGGAGCCGUAGGGAAACCGAGUCUUAACUGGGCGUCUAGUUGCAAGGUAUAGACCCGAAACCCGGUGAUCUAGCCAUGGGCAGGUUGAAGGUUGGGUAACACUAACUGGAGGACCGAACCGACUAAUGUUGAAAAAUUAGCGGAUGACUUGUGGCUGGGGGUGAAAGGCCAAUCAAACCGGGAGAUAGCUGGUUCUCCCCGAAAGCUAUUUAGGUAGCGCCUCGUGAACUCAUCUUCGGGGGUAGAGCACUGUUUCGGCUAGGGGGCCAUCCCGGCUUACCAAACCGAUGCAAACUCCGAAUACCGAAGAAUGUUAUCACGGGAGACACACGGCGGGUGCUAACGUCCGUCGUGAAGAGGGAAACAACCCAGACCGCCAGCUAAGGUCCCAAAGUCAUGGUUAAGUGGGAAACGAUGUGGGAAGGCACAGACAGCCAGGAUGUUGGCUUAGAAGCAGCCAUCAUUUAAAGAAAGCGUAAUAGCUCACUGGUCGAGUCGGCCUGCGCGGAAGAUGUAACGGGGCUAAACCAUGCACCGAAGCUGCGGCAGCGACACUUAGGUGUUGUUGGGUAGGGGAGCGUUCUGUAAGCCGUUGAAGGUGACCUGUGAGGGUUGCUGGAGGUAUCAGAAGUGCGAAUGCUGACAUAAGUAACGAUAAUGCGGGUGAAAAACCCGCACGCCGGAAGACCAAGGGUUCCUGUCCAACGUUAAUCGGGGCAGGGUGAGUCGACCCCUAAGGCGAGGCUGAAAAGCGUAGUCGAUGGGAAACAGGUUAAUAUUCCUGUACUUGGUGUUACUGCGAAGGGGGGACGGAGAAGGCUAGGCUGGCCGGGCGACGGUUGUCCCGGUUUAAGCGUGUAGGGGGAGUGACCAGGUAAAUCCGGUUGCUUAUCAACCCUGAGGCGUGAUGACGAUGCACCACGGUGCAGAAGCAGUUGAUGCCAUGCUUCCAGGAAAAGCCUCUAAGCAUCAGGUAACAUUAAAUCGUACCCCAAACCGACACAGGUGGUCAGGUAGAGAAUACUCAGGCGCUUGAGAGAACUCGGGUGAAGGAACUAGGCAAAAUGGUGCCGUAACUUCGGGAGAAGGCACGCUGGCGUUAGGUGAAAGGACUAGCUCCUGGAGCUGAAGCCAGUCGCAGAUACCAGCUGGCUGCAACUGUUUAAUAAAAACACAGCACUGUGCAAACACGAAAGUGGACGUAUACGGUGUGACGCCUGCCCGGUGCUGGAAGGUUAAUUGAUGGGGUCAGCCGCAAGGCGAAGCUCUUGAUCGAAGCCCCAGUAAACGGCGGCCGUAACUAUAACGGUCCUAAGGUAGCGAAAUUCCUUGUCGGGUAAGUUCCGACCUGCACGAAUGGCGUAAUGAUGGCCAGGCUGUCUCCACCCGAGACUCAGUGAAAUUGAACUCGCUGUGAAGAUGCAGUGUACCCGCGGCAAGACGGAAAGACCCCGUGAACCUUUACUAUAGCUUGACACUGAACAUUGAGCCUUGAUGUGUAGGAUAGGUGGGAGGCCUUGAAGUGUGGACGCCAGUCUGCAUGGAGCCAACCUUGAAAUACCACCCUUUAAUGUUUGAUGUUCUAACUCGGCCCCAUGAUCUGGGGUGAGGACAGUGUCUGGUGGGUAGUUUGACUGGGGCGGUCUCCUCCCAAAGAGUAACGGAGGAGCACGAAGGUUAGCUAAUCACGGUCGGACAUCGUGAGGUUAGUGCAAAGGCGUAAGCUAGCUUGACUGCGAGAGUGACGGCUCGAGCAGGUACGAAAGUAGGUCUUAGUGAUCCGGUGGUUCUGAAUGGAAGGGCCAUCGCUCAACGGAUAAAAGGUACUCCGGGGAUAACAGGCUGAUACCGCCCAAGAGUUCAUAUCGACGGCGGUGUUUGGCACCUCGAUGUCGGCUCAUCACAUCCUGGGGCUGAAGUAGGUCCCAAGGGUAUGGCUGUUCGCCAUUUAAAGUGGUACGCGAGCUGGGUUUAGAACGUCGUGAGACAGUUCGGUCCCUAUCUGCCGUGGGCGUUGGAAGAUUGAGAGGGGCUGCUCCUAGUACGAGAGGACCGGAGUGGACGAAUCACUGGUGUUCGGGUUGUCAUGCCAAUGGCAUUGCCCGGUAGCUAAAUUCGGAAGAGGUAACCGCUGAAAGCAUCUAAGCGGGAAACUUGCCUCGAGAUGAGUCUUCCCUGGGGCUUAAAGCCCCCUGAAGGAACGUUAAAGACUAUGACGUUGAUAGGCUGGGUGUGUAAGUGCAGCGAUGUAUUGAGCUAACCAGUACUAAUGAUCCGUGAGGCUUAACCU
rnacentral:rRNA from 1 species